AACGAACGCUGGCGGCAUGCUUAACACAUGCAAGUCGAACGAGACCUUCGGGCCGAGUGCCCCACGGGCGCGUAACGCGUGGGAACCUGCCUUAAGGUUCGGAAUAACUCCCAGAACGGGCUGCUACUACCGGUAAAUGCCUAUGGACCAAAGCUUUAGCGCCUUUGGAUGGGCCCGGGUUGGCUUAGCUAGUUGGUGGGGGAAAAGCCCACCAAGGCGACGAUCCAUUGCUGUUCUGAGGGGAUGAUCAGCAACACUGGGACUGAGACACGGCCCAGUCUCCGACGGGAGGCAGCAGUGGGGAGUAUUGGACGAUGGGCGAAAGCCUGAUCCAGCAAUGCCGCGGAAGUGAUGAAUGCCUUAGGGUUGUAAAGCUCUUUUACCCGGGAUGAUAAUGACAGUACCUGGAGAAUAAGCUCCGGCUAACUCCGUG
rnacentral:rRNA from 1 species